UAAGGAAUAUUGGUCAAUGGGCGCAAGCCUGAACCAGCCAUGCCGCGUGCAGGAAGACAGCCCUACGGGUCGUAAACUGCUUUUAUUGGGGAAUAACCCUCUGUUCGUGAACAGAGUUGAAUGUACCCAAGGAAUAAGGAUCGGCUAACUCCGUGCCAGCAGCCGCGGUAAUACGGAGGAUCCAAGCGUUAUCCGGAUUUAUUGGGUUUAAAGGGUGCGUAGGCGGCCUAUUAAGUCAGGGGUGAAAGACGGUGGCUCAACCAUCGCAGUGCCUUUGAUACUGAUAGGCUUGAUUACACUAGAGGUAGGCGGAAUGUGACAAGUAGCGGUGAAAUGCAUAGAUAUGUCACAGAACACCAAUUGCGAAGGCAGCUUACUAUGGUGUCAAUGACGCUGAGGCACGAAAGCGUGGGGAUCAAACAGG
rnacentral:rRNA from 1 species